CACGUAGGGGGCAAGCGUUGUCCGGAUUUAUUGGGCGUAAAGAGCUCGUAGGCGGCUCGGUAAGUCGGGUGUGAAACCUCCAGGCUCAACCUGGAGACGCCACCCGAUACUGCUGUGGCUAGAGUCCGGUAGGGGAGUGUGGAAUUCCCUGGUGUAGCGGUGAAAUGCGCAGAUAUCGGGAGGAACACCAGUGGCGAAGGCGGCACUCUGGGCCGGUACUGACGCUGAGGAGCGAAAGCGUGGGGGAGCGAACAGG
rnacentral:rRNA from 1 species